GAGUUUGAUCUUGGCUCAGAUUGAACGCUGGCGGCAUGCCUUACACAUGCAAGUCGAACGGCAGCACGGGAGCUUGCUCCUGGUGGCGAGUGGCGAACGGGUGAGUAAUGCAUCGGAACGUAUCCUGGAGUGGGGGAUAACGUAGCGAAAGUUACGCUAAUACCGCAUAUUCUGUGAGCAGGAAAGCGGGGGACCUUCGGGCCUCGCGCUCUUGGAGCGGCCGAUGUCGGAUUAGCUAGUUGGUGAGGUAAAGGCUCACCAAGGCGACGAUCCGUAGCAGGUCUGAGAGGAUGAUCUGCCACACUGGAACUGAGACACGGGUCCAGACUCCUACGGGAGGCAGCAGUGGGGAAUUUUGGACAAUGGGGGCAACCCUGAUCCAGCCAUGCCGCGUGAGUGAAGAAGGCCU
rnacentral:rRNA from 1 species